rnacentral:rRNA from 1 species
CAAUCCUGCGGUUCGCCCUAAUGGGCGACAAGCGGCGGACGGCCGAGUAAUGCCUAGGAAAUUGCCUUGAUGUGCCGGGAUAACCAUUGGAAACGAUGGCUAAUACCGCAUGAUGCCUACGGGCCAAAGAGGGGGACCUUCGGGCCGCUCGCGUCAAGAUAUGCCUAGGUGGGAUUAGCUAGUUGGUGAGGUAAUGGCUCACCAAGGCGACGAUCCCUAGCUGGUCUGAGAGGAUGAUCAGCCACACUGGAACUGAGACACGGUCCAGACUCCACCGGAGGCAGCAGUGGGGAAUAUUGCACAAUGGGCGCAAGCCUGAUGCAGCCAUGCCGCGUGUGAAGAAGGCCUUCGGGUUGUAAAGUACUUUCAGUUGUGAGGAAGGGGGUGUAGUUAAUAGCAGCACCUCUUGACGUUAGCAACAGAAGAAGCACCGGCUAACUCCGUGCCAGCAGCCGCGGUAAUACGGGAGGGUGCGAGCGUUAAUCGGAAUUACUGGGCGUAAAGCGCAUGCAGGUGGCUCAUUAAGUCAGAUGUGAAAGCCCGGGGCUCAACCUCGGAACUGCAUUUGAAACUGGUGAACUAGAGUACUGUAGAGGGGGGUAGAAUUUCAGGUGUAGCGGCGAAAUGCGUAGAGAUCUGAAGGAAUACCAGUGGCGAAGGCGGCCCCCUGGACAGAUACUGACACUCAGAUGCGAAAGCGUGGGGAGCAAACAGGAUUAGAUACCCUGGUAGUCCACGCCGUAAACGAUGUCUACUUGGAGGUUGUGGCCUUGAGCCGUGGCUUUCGGAGCUAACGCGUUAAGUAGACCGCCUGGGGAGUACGGUCGCAAGAUUAAAACUCAAAUGAAUUGACGGGGGCCCGCACAAGCGGUGGAGCAUGUGGUUUAAUUCGAUGCAACGCGAAGAACCUUACCUACUCUUGACAUCCAGAGAAUCCAGCGGAGACGCAGGAGUGCCUUCGGGAGCUCUGAGACAGGUGCUGCAUGGCUGUCGUCAGCUCGUGUUGUGAAAUGUUGGGUUAAGUCCCGCAACGAGCGCAACCCUUCUCCUUGUUUGCCAGCGAGUCAUGUCGGGAACUCCAGGGAGCUGCCGGUGAUAAGCCGGAGGAAGGUGGGGACGACGUCAAGUCAUCAUGGCCCUUACGAGUAGGGCUACACACGUGCUACAAUGGCGCAUACAGAGGGCAGCGAGCCAGCGAUGGUAAGCGAAUCCCAAAAAGUGCGUCGUAGUCCGGAUUGGAGUCUGCAACUCGACUCCAUGAAGUCGGAAUCGCUAGUAAUCGUGAAUCAGAUAGUCACGGUGAAUACGUUCCCGGGCCUUG